rnacentral:rRNA from 1 species
CCCAAUGAACGCUGGCGGCAGGCCUAACACAUGCAAGUCGAACGGUAGCACAGAGAGCUUGCUCUCGGGUGACGAGUGGCGGACGGGUGAGUAAUGUCUGGGAAACUGCCUGAUGGAGGGGGAUAACUACUGGAAACGGUAGCUAAUACCGCAUAACGUCGCAAGACCAAAGAGGGGGACCUUCGGGCCUCUUGCCAUCAGAUGUGCCCAGAUGGGAUUAGCUAGUAGGUGGGGUAAUGGCUCACCUAGGCGACGAUCCCUAGCUGGUCUGAGAGGAUGACCAGCCACACUGGAACUGAGACACGGUCCAGACUCCUACGGGAGGCAGCAGUGGGGAAUAUUGCACAAUGGGCGCAAGCCUGAUGCAGCCAUGCCGCGUGUAUGAAGAAGGCCUUCGGGUUGUAAAGUACUUUCAGCGGGGAGGAAGGUGUUGUGGUUAAUAACCACAGCAAUUGACGUUACCCGCAGAAGAAGCACCGGCUAACUCCGUGCCAGCAGCCGCGGUAAUACGGAGGGUGCAAGCGUUAAUCGGAAUUACUGGGCGUAAAGCGCACGCAGGCGGUCUGUCAAGUCGGAUGUGAAAUCCCCGGGCUCAACCUGGGAACUGCAUUCGAAACUGGCAGGCUAGAGUCUUGUAGAGGGGGGUAGAAUUCCAGGUGUAGCGGUGAAAUGCGUAGAGAUCUGGAGGAAUACCGGUGGCGAAGGCGGCCCCCUGGACAAAGACUGACGCUCAGUCGAAAGCGUCCCC